rnacentral:rRNA from 1 species
AUGAUGGCGGAGCAGGGCCGCAGCCUCCCGACCUUCCUCUUCAACCCGCCGCACGUGUCGCCGAUUCCGGCGAUCGACAUGGUGCUCCCGUCCGAGGGUGCGAGGAGGGAGCUGCUCGCCAAGAGCAACCUCGUCAAGGUCGGGCUCGGGCUGGUCCUCAGCCCCCACCGGAAGCUCAUGGAGAGGCUGUUUGAACGGCUGUCCCCGUGGGCGCCAAACCUGUACGUGCACGAGAGGGACGUCAUCUGCCAGGGCUUCAUAGGCUACUUCGAGCAGCAGCAGCAGCUGGAGGAGCGCUGCCGUGGCGCCAAGUCGGCCACCACGCUGUCGUACCGUGACAUGCUCUUCUUCACGCUCGGCAAGGAGAAAGAGCGGCCGCACCUCCUGCCAUCCGCGACACUGUGGAAGAACUCGAGCAUGGAUAGAGACGCCAACCUGUCCAGCAGUCGCUGGCCGCACACGAGCUCCAGCAGUGGUGGAGACCGGACGGCGACCUCAGGUUGA